UACGGAGGGUGCAAGCGUUGUUCGGAAUUAUUGGGCGUAAAGCGCGCGUAGGCGGGACGCUAAGUCUGGUGUGAAAUCCCUCGGCUUAACCGAGGAACUGCAUUGGAUACUGGCGACCUUGAGUCCUGGAGAGGGUGGCGUAAUUCCCAGUGUAGAGGGGAAAUUCGUAGAUAUUGGGAGGAACACCGGUGGCGAAGGCGGCCACCUGGACAGUGACUGACGCUGAGGCGCGAAAGCGUUGCUAUCAAACAGG
rnacentral:rRNA from 1 species